ACCGGGUGUCCAGUGUGGCAUUUCAGGAGCUUGGAGAAAGAGGAUAGAGAAGGUGAGAGCUGGGGGAAAAUUGAGAGGUGGCCAGAAAGAGAGGCUUUGGUCAUUUCCAGAGUCAUGGAGUUGCAGAGAACUAGCUUUAGGCAUUGCAUGUAAUUUAAUGUUCUUCAAUGUCCUGUAGCCUAAGACCACCUGGAACACACCUGUAGUCAACAAAGUUAGGCUGAUUAACGCCACAGCAAGGGAAACUGCACGCUGUGGGGAAGCUUGAGGCAUCUCAAAAGGGUGGAUUAAGACAAGGGCACCCAAUAAAGCUUUGGGGGCUGGAGUUAGUCACAGGAUGGUGUUGGCAGGAUUUCAUCAGAUUCUGUAAACUGGGGAGUUUCUGGAAAAGUAAGUGGUCUUAUCUUUGGGAUUCACAAGUCUGUGUGGAGUUACUGACAGGUCAAUUUCUCUAUGGUCUUAUCUGGGAACAAAUGGGCCUGAAAGAGCUGGUGUUUCAAGGUUUGAACUUAGAUCGUCUGUGAUGCCCACCACGGUGUGGUCGGGAGAAAUUGGCCUGCUUCGAAACUGAGGCUUAUGUUUUGAAAAUUGUGGUUUCUGUUUUCAUUCUCGGUCCCUGUCAUCUCUCUGCCAACAUGAACCCCAGUCUGCCAGUCUACCUUUUUCAUUUACUCACUAUUUUUCUAUCCCAUCGUUAUGGUUAUUCUACUGACAUGCUACAUGUAACAUAAAGAGCCCUACAGCUGCAUAACCUCCUGAGAGAGGGCUUCUUUAGUUUGCAAUGGAGAACUGGAGAUGGUGCUCAUUCACAGAUAUCUAACACUCGGAACCGGAAGACAGUAAAGGUCAUAAAUGAUGUACCUUUUACAUCUGGCAGAGGGCCAGGACAGUUCUGGGGUUCAUAUUUCUCUCCUUCUCUACUCUGAGGUUUAUACGGCCCCCCCACCGCCCCCAAGAUCACCUUGAUGGGACAAUUUGGCCUAUCCAGGCAGGAUCAACAAGAGGAAUUCAAGGAGAAAGCAAAUUGUUUUGCAAAUAGAGUAAGAUAUGUUUUGCAUUUCCAAAGGCAAUGCAAGAAGGAAGGACAAACGGAGGUGGGAACAGGCUCAAUCCAAGACGAGGCCUGAAGCAUGACUCAGCACUUAAUUACAUUCCCAGAGGAAAAUCCACCUCACAAGCAUGACUGGUGAUUUCAGUGGAAGAGUCAGAAGAAGCUUUUACAUCUCGCACAGUCCUCAUCAAUUCCUUCCUGAUCUGUCCUUUCAUCUCAGUCCCCACUCAGAGGCUCUGCCUGCUGGAGAGAGGAGUGGGAGAAAUGUCCUUCUUCAAAGCCAGCUUCACAGGCCCAUAGCCGUUGAGGUUGCAUAGGGCCCCAAGCUGAAAGAGCCCCAUUUAAGAUUUAAUGCUGUGCUCAUGCCCUCUUAAAAUUAUUGCUGAACUCUGCUCUGUAAGUGAAGUCCAUGGGGCAGCAGCACAUGCGCAGGAGCAUGGAGGAGGCGUAAUAUGCAUGUCAGCUGCUCUUUGCUGCCCAUUCCCAUAGAACAUUUGCAAUGCCCCAGCAGCAGAGGAUGGAUGCUGGCGGUGAGAGGUGAAGCCGGCUGGGCUUCUGGGUGGGGUGGGGACUUGGAGAACUUUUCUGUCUAGCUAAACGAUUGUAAACGCACCAAUCAGCACUCUGUGUCUAGCUAAAGGUUUGUUACAGACCAAUCGGUCUGUAAAACAGACCAAUCAGCUCUCUGUAAAAUGGACCAAUCAGCAGGAUGUGGGUGGGUCCAGAUAAGGGAAUAAAAGCAGGCCACCCAAGCCAGCAGCGGCAACCCGCUUGGGUCCCCUUCCACGCCGUGGAAGCUUUGUUCUUUUGCUCUUUGCAAUAAAUCAUGCUGCUGCUCACUCUUUGGGUCCACAACACCUUUAUGAGCUGUAACACUCACCACAAAGGUCUGCAGCUUCACUCCUGAAGCCAUAGAGACCAUGAACCCACCGGGGAGGACCAGACAACUCCAGACGCACUGCCUUUAAGAGCUGUAACACUCACGGCGAAGGUCUGCAGCUUCACUCCUGAAGUCAGUGAGACCAGGAACCCACCCAGAGGAACGAACAACUCCAGACGCGCCGCCUUUAUGAACUGUAACACUCACUGCGAAGGUCUGCAGCUUCACUCCUGAAGUCCGCAAGACCACGAACCCACCAAAAGGAAAAAACUCUGGACAUGUUCGAACAUCAGAAGGAACAAACUCCGGACACACCAUCUUUAAGAACUGUAACACUCACCACCAGGGUCCGCGGCUUCAUUCUUGAAGUCAGCAAGACCAAGAACCCACCAAUUCCGGACCCAGUGGUUCCAUGGAGUGUGGAGGUUCAGCAAGACUCAAAGUGAGAACGUCACCAACAAACUGAGUAUGUCACCAACAAACUAAAUUCUUUCCCAAGUUGAUGUCGGUCUCAAAGAAAGAAUAUCCAAUUGGAAAAGGCCGUCAGGUUUCAUUCACUGGCCAGAGAAUGAAGAACGUGAUCUCUUGCUCUAAAUGCACCUUCUCCCUAAACAAUAGAAGGCGUGGGGUUGUGAAGGACUGGGUACAGGGAGGGAGAGGCAUUGUUAGCAUGUGGAGGGUGGGACUCCAGACACCCAAGCUCAAAUUUAUAAAAAUUUCUUCAUAUAUCACAUGUACACAAAAUGGUAGAGAUUUUCUU
rnacentral:lncRNA from 10 species